GCACUGCAACGGUUUGUCGCUGGCGCUUCUGAAAGGUCGCGCGAGAGGAAAGUCCGGGCAGCAUAGGGUGCUCCACUUCUGAAAGUAGAAGCUAUUGGUGACAGUAGGUGCCGGCAGAAGAGAAUGACCGCCCUCCGCUUUGACGUCAGUCAGAGUAAUGACCACAGGUCGGGAGGGUAAGGGUGAGAAGGUGGUGUAAGAGACCACCAGCCAGCGGGUGAUCGUUGGGCUGUGUCGACUGGAGGCUGCAAGUUCAUGUAAACCAUCGUCUGAGGGUUGCCCGCCCAACGACGCAAGUCACGAUGGAGGGUAGAACGCUUGAGCCAUGAGGUGACUUAUGGACUAGAUAAAUGACAAACGCCAUGCCAGCGUGGUACAGAACCCGGCUUAUAGGUGCAGUGCUUUU
rnacentral:RNase_P_RNA from 1 species